GUGGUGAGCGCCGGCGUCCUCCAGCCCGCUCGGCCACGCCGGCCCAGCCUGCCAGUACCCGGAACACAGCCCCUUCUCCAGGGCAGCCCCGCGGGACCCCCCUGCUCCCGAUGCCCUUUUCUCUUCAGCCUGCGGCCCUUCAGCGUCCUCAAGUUGCUCCUGCUGCCAUCCUGGCCCACCUGGGGCACCAGGUUCUGAGGGCACCACCUUCUCGCGUCUGUGCCCACUUCUCUCCGCAAUGGUGACAGCUCCUAGCUAGCCUCCCCCAACCCGUGUGAUCUUCGCAAAAAACAAAAACAAAAACAAAAAAAACCCAAAAAAACAAAACCCAGAAACUUCCCUCUGUAGUUCCUGCAGGCUCUGCUGGCUCUGGUCCCACAGAUCCCGUGUCUCCAGCCACCUUUCCACUCCGUGAAUGAGAGUAGUGUUAUUUACCGCAGCUCCCGGGCUCCUGUUAACCACACCCCUUGCACGCAGACCCUUGCACCUGGGCCUCUAGGCCAGCCACACUCCACUCUGAAACAUGCCCCCGUGGUCCCACCUUCUAUA